rnacentral:rRNA from 1 species
UACAGAGGUGGCAAGCGUUGUUCGGAUUCACUGGGCGUAAAGGGUGCGUAGGUGGUGGGGUAAGUCGGAUGUGAAAGCUCGGAGCUCAACUCCGAAAUGGCAUUGGAAACUACCCUGCUAGAGGAUUGGAGGGGGGACUGGAAUACUUGGUGUAGCAGUGAAAUGCGUAGAUAUCAAGUGGAACACCAGUGGCGAAGGCGAGUCCCUGGACAAUUCCUGACACUGAGGCACGAAAGCUAGGGGAGCAAACAGG